rnacentral:rRNA from 1 species
GAAACAGUGGCUAAGACUGGAUAGGAAGAUAAAAGGCAUCUUGUAUCUUUUAAAAGACCUAGUAAUAGGUAUGCUUUAGGAGGGGCUUGCGCCAUAUUAGUUAGUUGGUAGGGUAAUGGCCUACCAAGACGAUGAUGUGUAGCUGGACUGAGAGGUUGAACAGCCACAUUGGGACUGAGACACGGCCCAAACUCCUACGGGAGGCAGCAGUAGGGAAUUUUCGGCAAUGGAGGAAACUCUGACCGAGCAACGCCGCGUGAAUGACGAAGUACUUCGGUAUGUAAAGUUCUUUUAUCAAGGGAAGAAAAGCAAAUGGCGAACCAUUUGUUUGCCGGUACUUGAUGAAUAAGCCCCGGCUAAUUAUGUGCCAGCAGCCGCGGUAAGACAUAAGGGGCAAGUGUUAUCCGGAAUUAUUGGGCGUAAAGGGUGCGUAGGCGGUCUAGUAAGUCAGUGGUGUAAUGGCAACGCUUAACGUUGUCCGGCUAUUGAAACUGCUAAACUUGAGUUAGAUAGAGGCGAGUGGAAUUCCAUGUGUAGCGGUAAAAUGCGUAAAUAUAUGGAGGAACACCAGAGGCGUAGGCGGCUCGCUGGGUCUUAACUGACGCUGAGGCACGAAAGCGUGGGGAGCAAACAGGAUUAGAUACCCUGGUAGUCCACGCCGUAAACGAUGAGUACUAAGUGUCGGGUUAAACCGGUACUGAAGUUAACACAUUAAGUACUCCGCCUGAGUAGUACGUACGCAAGUAUGAAACUUAAAGGAAUUGACGGGACUCCGCACAAGCGGUGGAUCAUGUUGUUUAAUUCGAAGAUACCCGAAAAACCUUACCAGGUCUUGACAUGUUUUUGCAAAAUGAUAGUAAUAUUGUGGAGGUUACCAGAAACACAGGUGGUGCAUGGUUGUCGUCAGCUCGUGUCGUGAGAUGUUAGGUUAAGUCCUAAAACGAGCGAAACCCUUAUCGUUAGUUGCCAGCACGUUAUGGUGGGGACUUUAACGAGACUGCCAAUGAUAAAUUGGAGGAAGGUGAGGAUCACGUCAAAUCAGCAUGCCCCUUAUGACCUGGGCUACAAACGUGAUACAAUGGCUGUUACAAAGGGUAGCUGAAACGCAAGUUCUUGGCCAAUCCCCAAAAACAGUCCCAGUCCGGAUUGAAGUUGUUCAACUCGACUUCAGAAGGGUGAAUGACUAGUAAGCGAGAAUC